rnacentral:rRNA from 1 species
AUUGAACGCUAGCGGGAUGCCUUACACAUGCAAGUCGAACGGAGUGGCGAACGGGUGAGUAAUGUAUCGGAACGUGCCCAGUAGAGGGGGAUCACUACGCGAUAGCGUAGCUAAUUCCGCAUACUUUCGGAGCGGCCGAGACCGGAUUAGCUAGUUGGUGGGGUAACGGAUCACCAAGGCGACGAUCCGUAGCUGGUUUUAGAGGACGACCAGCCACACUGGAAAUGAGACACGGCCCAGACUCCUACGGGAGGCAGCAGUGGGGAAUAUUGGACAAUGGGGGAAAGCCUGAUCCAGACAUGCCGCGUGUGCGAAGAAGGCCUUCGGGUUGUAAAGCACUUGUGGCAGGGAAGCGGUACCUGCAGAAGAAGCACCGGCUAACUACGUGCCAGCAGCCGCGGUAAUUC